AUGUUCUCGUUCCAAUCUGCAAGCCACAUCAAUAACAUCAGAAUGUCCCUCAUUAAUGCCCAGAAGGGGAAUCUUUCUGUCGCCUCCUACUUCACCGACAUGCGUGGCUACGCCGACGAGCUAGCCGCCGCGGGCAAGGUGAUCCCCAACGAUGAACUCACCCCCUACAUCAUCCAUGGGCUCGACGCCGACUACCAGCCCCUGGUCUCUGCCCUCGACGCUCCGGUGACCGCUGUGACCCUUGAUGAGCUCUUUGCCAUGCUAUCAAAUUUCGAUCAGCGCACGGUUCAGUUCCAAGGGGCCGGCGACGGUGGCUUCAAAUCGUCUGCCAACGUGGCUACUCACGGGCAGGGAGGCGACUCCCAAUCGCGUGGCUCCUCUCGCAAUAAGGCAAGGUCUAGCGGUGGCAACAACGGCGACACGCCACCACCCCGCUCUGGUGGUCGGGGUCGCCGCGGGCGCGGCGGCAGUGGUGGUGGCAGAAACUGCUCGGAUACCCCCCAGUGCCAAAUCUGCGGCAAGCCCAGACACACAUCAAAAGAUUGCCGGUACUGGUAUGAAGAGGACGACUACGACUCUCAAGCAACGAAAAAUUUGCCACGACUGCGGAUGGCUCCUAUGGUGUCGACACGAACUGGUAUGUCGACAGCGGAGCUACCAACCACAUCACCAACGAGCUCGAGAUAG
rnacentral:rRNA from 1 species